GAUACUCCAGCAUCAAAUUGCCAUUAGGAUUAAACGAAGAAAACAAGAUCGAUAAGAAAAAUUACAAACAAAUAGAGUCCGAAGAUCCAACAAAAGUAUUCCAGAAACUUCCUCAACAGCACUGCCAAAAGCGAAAUCUCUAUUGAGGCAAGCGGGAAACGGUUCCAGGAAAAAUGAGUUCAUUUACAAUAAAGAAUGAAGAAAUAUGUAUAAAUGAGACCGAUGCGAUAGAGUUACUGCGAACAAGUUCCCUAAGAAGGACCGCAAACAUCGAGUGGCCAUUGAAACAAAGAGAGCUACCGUACAGAGGCUCGGUUAUCAGCAGAAAACAUUUUUCCUGGGUGUCGGGAACGAUAACGUGGCCAGGCCACGUUCAGCACGAGUGAGAACAGUCGUGAGCGACUACAGGCAGCAGGAAUCGUACACAGCUGCUGCCGGCCUGAUUGUUCCUCCCGGUAGAACCGGCGAUCGGUGUCACUGUGUCGAGCUGUGCUACCGGUGACGUCACUGCUCAACACCGUCAACAGCCAUCCCCUCUACGAUCCUCGUAACGCUAUUCACGACACUUGCUUACUUACGACACUGAAUAAGGAACGAACGCCAGAGAUUAGCAGCUGGCAGAUAAUGUUGCAGCGUGUAUGCGAAAACCGGCUUUUUCUCGGUCGGACAACGAGCCACGCGGUUUCGUUGUCCCUAAGUGAAGUUCAGCUCCAGUAAAAAGACGUAGAUCACCGUAAACGAGAUCGAACAAUGAGUCAGUUGGCUAAGAGUACAACUACGACCAGUUUAAUGCUAAUGGGUUUUGAUCAACUGUCUUGGAUAAAGUACAGCUGAAAACUCCUUAACGCUCUUGUCAGCGGUUCUUCCUACUCUUCGUGCGUCACUGUGCACGCAUAACGUCACGGCCGCCCGUGGAAAUUGACGCCACAGCAUUUGUUCGGAUUUUACGAGCUUGGAAACGAAGGACUGCACUGCGAUACCGACCUUAAAUUUAUCAACUGUGUCACGAUCAUCGUGUAAAUUCGUAAAGCUGAACAGAGAACCACAUCCAAUGACAUGCUCGAGAAGAAAACGUUCUUUCUGCUUCACGGUCUCGGAUACGAAAGCUGAGACAAGAGACACGAACGGUUUCGGGGAACGAACUUUCUUUUUGGCCUAAUUGGAGAAAUUAAUCUUUUUUUAAAGUGGAACACUUUAUAAUAAAUAUUUUCCUUUCUAAGUAGAUCACUAUCCGAGUUCCAUUAUUGAAGUAUUACUUAUUUUGGGAUAAUAGGAGAAAUUAAAUGUUUUCGGAAUAGUUGCGAUAUGAAUAUAUGCAUAAGUUACACAACGUAUACGUUGUGAAUAAACAAUAUCUAUUUCCGUAAAUUGCAAACAAUUUUCAGUAUACUCUGAAUCUGUAAAGACUUCAAGACCAAACAAAACUGCACGACAUUUCUACAAAUUCGGAAUAAAAUACUCAAUGUAACACCUGCAUUUCGAUGAUUAUAGUUUGUGGUGGCUUCGGUAUUUCCGUCUUUCUUCUCUUUUAGUGUUCCCCGUUGAAAGAAGGCAUGUACCAAAAAGCAGGUCACGCAACGGCGAUAACGGUAAUCCGUGCAGUCGUGGUGUAACGGCGUUCACGUGGAAAAGCAAACGAAGAAAAGUGUUUUGCUCGCUUAGCCGUAGAAUCGCGGCAAGACACGAUUUAUAAUGACUGCGAACAGAGUAAUGACCGCCUGGGUUUACCUUCGAGUCAUCGUAGCUAUUGCGACGACGGCAAUUCGGAAAUCCCGAGCUAAAUUGUCUCUUCUAACCAUAGUAGAAUCGUAUUAAAUUAAUCGUCAGAUGAAGAGUUCACGGUGAAUUACGAACUUCAAUACGUGGAAACUAUUUUCCUUGUAUAAUAGAUGCUUAACAGGUGCUUUAAAGAGACGUAAAUAAUUAAACCUCCAAAAUUGAAAUUGUGUUUGCUUCUAAACCAAAAUAUUAAAGAUAUAUUGAUAUAUGGAAAUGUAACUUCCAAUAUAACGUGGCAUUAUAUAUAGAUGCUUAAUCCAAAUUCUAGUUUUGCUUCGUGUAUUUAAUCCUAGUUUUUUAAGUUGUAUAGUUUUGCUUAAUCUUAAAAUGAAAGUAUGUUAUUAAUACUUGCAAGAAAAGUAAUGCAACUAAUAUCUUAUUGUUGAAGGAAAUCAGAGUUACGAAACUUUGAUUUUUGCAAUAUCCAAAAUCUCUGACCUAAACAAAUACAAAUCUUAAGUUAAUUUUUGCGAUCGCAUCAGAUAAGCCCUAUUAAAAAUGUAAGAAAACCGAUAUAUAAUUACGAUCCACUCAACUACCUAAAGCCUGGCUCUAUCCCUCUUCACCUCGGAUAAAAAAUAUCAAACAAAGAAAGUUUAUCGUUGAACCAGAGCUUACUCAUUCAUCGACUAUGCCGUUAUAUAUGUCAUUGUAUAUCGAAACGACCACACAAACCUAAACUCACAGACAUCCACGUAUAUAUGCAUAGGUACAAAACCUAUUCGCAUGCCCACGUACAUAUAUGCAUAAGAGAGUACUCGAUCCAGUUCGUGGCGCGUUAUCGAAAGGCGAGAGUGUCAACGUUCACCCGCGCGAAAGUGAAAAUCUGGGGCUGCCGGUCGUAGCACAAGCGAGAGAUACUACUACGUUUGUCGACUGUGUCGAGGCGGGCGGGAAAAGGCCGGCCCGCGGCGGUAUCUAGGCUGCGACCCGGUUCGCGAUAUCAUUUAGGUCAUUGUGUUCAACCGGGUCCAGCAAAACCGGGUAAACGCUGCCCAAUGGCGGCGCACGACGCGCCACACUGAUCCUGCUCUCUGGCGCACACCUUUUCGACGCAUGUGCGCGUAGUACGAUGUGAAGAAACGCGACUACUAUAUCGCUCUCUGCUCGCCGGCCGGGCUUCUCUUUAUACACGGCGUGCGCGCGCUCGUUAUAUCACAGGCGACGUUGCGUAAAAUGUACGCUGGCACACGCUCGUCUCUUCUGUUACACGGAGAGUAUGUGGCCGCCUUUCGCCCCUCUCCUGGCCCCCUUUUAAACCUAUCCCCCCGUUCCGCCGUGCGUUCUGCCCUCCUACGACUCCACUGCUACCUCCUUGUUCCGUCUCUUUACACGCGCCUUAACCAGCACCGCGUGAACGCGAACACGUUCCGAGCUUCUUGUUCUACGUAGCGAAAGUUUGUUUUCAUUUUUAGUCUCCCUCCACCAAAACCGGUGGCCGACCGGCCCGCCAUCGCCACCUGACUUUUCAUCUGGCGUGCGCGCACAUUAAUACGCAGAAUCAUAGCGAACCUUGUUUCUCACUUGGAAAUCGAUAAAAUAGUUUAAUCAAGAAAUCUUUCCCAAUUGAGGGAAAACGAUAUCCGAUGGUAGAUCGCAUCGUCCCACGUGUUUCGAAACCUCUAUAGAUACCCACACGCGAACGCCUUAUUUUACAACAGAAGGGUGUAAUCAGUAUGUUUGUAUUGAUUAUUCAAUCAGUGGUCAGAUCAUCCAACUAAUAAUUGCCUAUUUUAUCUCCACCGUGUAAAUAAUUGAACACGCCUUAUCUCGGUCGUAGGAAUGACUUCUUCAUCUGUCUCGUUAAAUCAUCUAAGUCCCCAUAUUCAAUAAGGUAUUUGGUAGUGUAUGAAAUGGAAUCGGUGAUACGAAAGACCACUUAUCUCCUGCCACAUAGAUGGAAGCGCGGUAUACUGGAAAGUCAUAAACUAGCAAAAAAUAAGAACGGUAUAACGAGCACGUUCAAUCGACGCCUUUAUGCGGGAGAACUCUUCCUCCCGUUUUCCUAAUACACUAUCGCAUUCGUGAGAGCCGACGGGAUGUAUGUAUUGCAAGCGCGUUUGCCACAGGGACGAACAGAACACGAUACCUUUCCUGUGAAUCUCGCGCGCGUGGAACGCAGCACGCGUUCGUGUGCACGAUCGGUACCUUCUCGACCUACUUCUCUGAGAAAGGCCCGACCUCGCUUUUCUCUCUGUACAGCAGAUACGCGCCACUUUUCCUCGCGUCCUCGUGCGUCCUAUGCAGUAUGGCACGCGCAUCAACUUUUCGUGCCCUGGCCAUUUGCUCGCCAGGGCCAGCACUAUCGAACCAUGCAAUUUCACACUUCUCGAUGAUGACGAAAAUGCGCUAUACAAAUUCAGAUGAUAUUAUAUUCUACUAUUUGAAUUUGUUCUUUAAGAAUCAAAUUAGAAUUCAAAUUAGAAUCAGGAUAAUUUAAUGUUUAUUCGAUUCGUACAUAGAUGUUUAUUGCUUGAUUUAAAAUAACGGAUUAAAAGGAUUAGAUAAUAAAGGUAAAUACUACUUUGCGACGAUCUACAUUGUGUUAUACCACGCAUAGUGCUCUUCUUACACGGUACUAUUGACAGAAACUGUUAGAAAGUCUCAGAGGACUUGGAUGAUGCAUAUUCAACCAUAUAUUAGCUCGGCGUGUGCAAGGUUGCAUUAUCGAUCAUAAUUUACGACGCGUGCUGCAUUGUUACGUCAGUGCAGCUCGUUUACGGCCAAUAUUAUCAGGUGGGAGCGAAGACGCAUAAACUUACACGCGUUAUGCCUACGAUCAGCUGAUUUUGCACUUCGUGUCAAUUUCGUAACAAGCAAACAAUCGUUCCAAAUAUCUAAAGAGAAAAAAUUCCAUGUGCAUCUAAGACGUCAACUUUUACCACAACAAUUAAAAUGUUAUCCAUCCAAAUAACUCCGGGUGUCGGAUUCGAAAAUCAAGGACGGCAGUUUGGCACGGAUUUCAAGCGGCAUGCUGAUUUACUUUCACGCGGACAAUGAAAUUUCGUUCACGGCCAAUACGUUGUUUAAAUAACAGUAGAGAGUGUCGGCGCAUAACAAGGAGCGUGGGCAAAGUAGCAACGAUUACUCUGAUGGUAUUGAAGAACCAUGAUUCCGGGUAAUCAUACCGGCACGCGCGUUCCAUUUUGCAAUUCCAUACCGUCACGUCGGCGUGUGCAACUUAUUAAAAGUCGACACGUCUCGCGCGUACUACGCGCCCAUUUCGAGGGGAACCUUGCGAGCGAUCGUACGCGAUGCAUAAGUAUUGCGCCGGGUGGUAUAGAGUUGUUCUAAUAUCCAAGGUAAUUGUACUCAGACGUGCUAAUGAUUGCGACACAGUCGCAAUCGCCGUAAAACAAAUCAGAAGGAGCGUAAGAGGGAGAGGGAAAGCAGGUAGAAAGAGAUUUGUGUAGUACGCGCCGGACAGAGAGAAGGCGUUGCAUUGUAAACUCUAUGACCGACUUUACAAGCGAUCGGCUAGGAUACAGUGCCUCCAACGGUCGAUCGGCGCAACUAACCGCCAUGUUGUUUCCAAACCCGAAAUCAAGUUCGCACCACUCUUUACAAAGAGAAAGGUAAACGCCGAUCGCUACCUCGUCCGAAAUUAUGACAUAACUUUGGUUUCGCUGUGUUUUUUUUGUGGUAAGGGAAUUCAACGUUCGUAAAAAGAGAAUGGAAUUUUUCUUUUUUCUUUUUUUCUUUCCAUUUAACGAUAGAUUCUUAACUAUUCAGUCCACGUAACAGCUAACAGCAUCGAUUUUAAUCCUAGUUUCGAUACUGAUCUGCAUUUUAGCGCUCUUAUACAUAUCCGAUUUUCGCUGGUGAAACGAUGUUAAACAGAUGUUCGUUUUCCGUGCCAACCUUUCCUAAGAUCGACUGUUAUUCUGCACUCGGUAAUAAAUACGAGGCAAGAAUAUAUAGAUCCCAAAAGAGUUACAUAAAUUAAGAUAAAGAAUCUAAAACGGAGAAGCGAGUACUUUAAAAUCUGCUAUUAUCAAACUAAUGAUUUCUAUUAUAAAUUCUGUAUUCUACCGAACCAUAAGAUUAAUUUUUUUUCAUUUAAAAAUAAUUUUUAUGAGAAGAAUUAUAAAAUUAAUUUAUAUCGCGUAUAAUUCUGCUACGAUUGCAAAAUUAUAAUACAGUAUGUGUCGUUUCUAGUUUCCAACUGCCGAAUAGGUCCUAUGGACAGCUACAGCGACAGAGACCGGCCGGCCGGCCUAUGACUAUAAGUUAAUACUUAUGUAGAGUGGCCAUCCGUGAUCCAUCUUGCGUAACCUAUUUACCGGCAAAGUGGUACAAGCACGUAUGACAUAAUCCCGUGCAACAGAGCACGCACUGUGCACUUUACAUUCCGGUCUGUUCGAAUACUAUUUUAAAUAGCCCAUACUGCGAUUGUGCGCCUGCGCGGCAGCUCAAGCCGGCACGCCGCGUCGCACCAGUGCGCAACGUUUAGCAAAUUAAAAAUACACGAAGAAAAUCAGCCCGUGAAACAAGAAGAUACAAUUUUACCAUUAUUAUAUAUCCCAUGGAACCUUUCUUUUACGCCCCACUUGUUUAUUUUAAACAUGCUUUUGUUUCCAACAUACUUUUAAAACUAUACAAUAAGAUCUUUGAGAAUCUUAAAGAACUUAACUUCAUAUUCUGAUACCGAUUAUGUGGAACUUAACUUUAUUCUUAAAUCUAACGAUUAUAGUUUUUCAGUCUAAAUAGUCUUUGACACUUAAUUCCAUUUACUUCACACUCGGUAAGCUAUUUUUAUAAACUAUUUAAAAAAACGUACAAUUUAUGUUUGAAACCAGCUUUAUGUAUGUAGAUCUUAAUCGAAUCUGCAGAACCUCUCUCGACUAAACUGUAAACAACCAGGAUAUUCGAAACGUGGCUGAUAAAAAUACUAUAUACUCAAUCACACUCCCUUUACGAUCAGUUUCCCUCGGUCGAGUUCGUAACCUCGAAUCGAACGAGUACGCGACGAAAAGAGGCGAGGUUAGAGAGAUCGAGAGAGAUUGACCACCUGCUGCUGAGCGUGGCCCAAGCAACUAGAGCAAUGAAUUAUAACCUCGGAUCUCAUCGAGCUGUCGGCAGCUGUUGGACGGACGUUUCUUCUGUAUGGCAGAAAAAUUAAAGCGUUCUGGAUUCCCCGGCGCACACAGCGAUUGAUAAACGAAUAUAAGAGAAGAAAAGCAAGAAUUUAUCGAAACUAACAUACGUAUUUCCAAAAACGUCAGUGGCUACAAGAUAGCGCGAACGAUCGCAAGGAAUGAAGGAAACACCCGCGUGACUAUGUCAGACUGCUAGACAAGCCUGUACGCAUACCGACAUUUGUUUACAUCGCGAACGGUUGUUGCGGAUGCGCCUCUAUGUAUGUAUGUAUAUAGAGUCGGGCCAGUUAGGUUUGGUAAGCCUGUGCCGGGAUAUCUAUCUUUGGAUCCACGCACGAAGUGCGCGCACACACUGGCCAUCUCUUACUCAAUCGUCUCACGCCCGUGCCGGUGACCAGUGACACCGUUAAACGCGACCAUUAUUUCGAAUGCGCCCCGCAGGUCGGAUAUUUCCGUGGUGACCGUAGAUAGACCCGAUGGAUCGCACCGUUAACGGCGAAACGCACUCCCGCAGUGGAACGCAUUACCACGUAUCCAAUGUUGUGCUAUCUUCUCGUCGCAGUGAAAUGCACGCGUCAGUGAUUCUCAACUUUUAUCGGUUACGGUUGUUUUGUCACGUUGGUUGAGGAGUAAUUAUGUUGGACAAUUUGACAGAAGAGUGAGCGAGUUUGACGAUUGUGACCGUGAUAAGAGAUACGACGAAAUAGCUGCCAGGAUUUGUAAAGAAGCGAUUUUAUUGCGCGAUCAUGUCGGUUUGGUAGGGUACUUGGAAUCCAGAUAGAGAAAGAUGUGCUAAAAUAAUAGCAAAAUCAAAAUAUGAACACUGUCUUUGAGGUGGUUUUACUGAAAAUAUAAUAAAACUUGGUAUAAAAACUAAAUUACCUUCUAAGUUGAUACUUUUAGGGAUUCACAGCAUGUAAAUUCUAGGAAGCAUUUAGUUAAAUACGUAAGAUGCAUGUUUAAUUAAUUGCCGAUUAUUUGUAGUAGUACAACUCUGAGCAAGUAAAGCCUUAUAAAUAUUCCGAUAAAUGUCACGCUACGCUAAUUUCUUUCUCUUUCUAUGAAAUUGUAAACGACGAUAAAAUCUAAUAUUUCUUAAGGAAUGAAAAUUUCGAAUUAAUGAGCAAAUCAAUUGUUAAAUUUUAGAAUUCCUUAUAGUUCUGAAUAAAUAUAGUAAAUGAAUAGUGAGUACAGCCAUGGACAAUACUUUGAAAAAAUAGGGACUGCGACGAAGUUGACGGUCGAGCGCCAUGGCUAUUGACAUAUUGUCAGGGCUAACAGAAGGCAGGUCGACCGGUGAGGUGUCAAAUCGCGAAGUGGACGUUACGAAACUGCAUAUGCAAGAUGUUUGCUAAAGCAGAGGUACACGAUAGUCGGCAGAACGCACGGAAGCUUUAAAAUUACCACUUACGCGUACUUGCGCUAACAGAUAAACGCCGUCCAGUAUUUACCGAUUCACGGUUCGGUAAAUACUUCGACGUCACUAAAAGUCAGCCAUGUACGCUCGCUUAUGUGUUGCAUAUAUAAACAGGUAACGACGUGGGGAAGUACUUACGUCAGAGUACUACAUCGGUAGAUUAAUUAUGGUGAUUAAAGAUUACAGAUGAUCACGGUGAAUUAAGGAAGACAGGAACACGAAAAGCACGCCCUGUUACGUAUAUCUCAUCACGGAUACGAUGAUUAAAAAUAAUCAUAAUUGCGAUCGAGAAGAUUAAGAUGAAUCUCUGAAGUUUACUACUAUCACGCGCCGGCGAUAAUGUGUUCGUUGAAACCAAGACCUGAACGAUUUUCAUUCAGAAUUUAUGCUUUCGUUGAUGUUAAGGAAUAUUACCAUAAGAAAAAGUUCCCUUCAAUAAACUUCAAUUCUCUCUUGAAUGUAGUAAUAAUUGCCGUAUAUGUAUGUACUUCAAAUAAGAAUAAACGUGUGUUGCAAGGUUAUCUAUAUUUAA